GGCUACAUUACAUUGAACCACCAGUUUCCGUAUGAUCCCAGAAGUUAAGCAUCGUCUAGCCUGGUCAGUACCUAGAUGGGUGACUGCUUGGGAAUAAUAGGAGCUGUAAG